GUGCAGGAUAAGUUACAAUGCAGCUUGUUUGGUGCUGCUUUGUCGUUCCCCCUGCAAACAGCAACCUGUCUCCUAGCUAUCCCUGUCUGUCAGCAUCCCCAGGCAGCCAGGGACGCAAGGUCUCAGACAC